GGGAAGGUCAUGACAGUAGCCUGGGAAGGUCAUGACAGUAGCCUGGGAAGGUCAUGACAGUAGCCUGGGAAGGUCAUGACAGUAGCCUGGGAAGGUCAUGACAGUAGCCUGGGAAGGUCAUGACAGUAGCCUGGGAAGGUCAUGACAGUAGCCUGGGAAGGUCAUGACAGUAGCCUGGGAAGGUCAUGACAGUAGCCUGGGAAGGUCAUGACAGUAGCCUGGGAAGGUCAUGACAGUAGCCUGGGAAGGUCAUGACAGUAGCCUGGGAAGGUCAUGACAGUAGCCUGGGAAGGUCAUGACAGUAGCCUGGGAAGGUCAUGACAGUAGCCUGGGAAGGUCAUGACAGUAGCCUGGGAAGGUCAUGACAGUAGCCUGGGAAGGUCAU